rnacentral:rRNA from 1 species
AUUGAACGCUGGCGGCAGGCCUAACACAUGCAAGUCGAGCGGAUGAAGGGAGCUUGCUCCUGGAUUCAGCGGCGGACGGGUGAGUAAUGCCUAGGAAUCUGCCUGGUAGUGGGGGAUAACGUCCGGAAACGGGCGCUAAUACCGCAUACGUCCUGAGGGAGAAAGUGGGGGAUCUUCGGACCUCACGCUAUCAGAUGAUCCUAGGUCGGAUUAGCUAGUUGGUGGGGUAAAGGCCUACCAAGGCGACGAUCCGUAACUGGUCUGAGAGGAUGAUCAGUCACACUGGAACUGAGACACGGUCCAGACUCCUACGGGAGGCAGCAGUGGGGAAUAUUGGACAAUGGGCGAAAGCCUGAUCCAGCCAUGCCGCGUGUGUGAAGAAGGUCUUCGGAUUGUAAAGCCCUUUAAGUUGGGAGGAAGGGCAGUAAGUUAAUACCUUGCUGUUUUGACGUUACCAACAGAAUAAGCACCGGCUAACUUCGUG